CUUGCUCCCGGAUGUUAGCGGCGGACGGGUGAGUAACACGUGGGUAACCUGCCUGUAAGACUGGGAUAACUCCGGGAAACCGGAGCUAAUACCGGAUAGUUCCUUGAACCGCAUGGUUCAAGGAUGAAAGACGGUUUCGGCUGUCACUUACAGAUGGACCCGCGGCGCAUUAGCUAGUUGGUGAGGUAACGGCUCACCAAGGCGACGAUGCGUAGCCGACCUGAGAGGGUGAUCGGCCACACUGGGACUGAGACACGGCCCAGACUCCUACGGGAGGCAGCAGUAGGGAAUCUUCCGCAAUGGACGAAAGUCUGACGGAGCAACGCCGCGUGAGUGAUGAAGGUUUUCGGAUCGUAAAGCUCUGUUGUUAGGGAAGAACAAGUGCAAGAGUAACUGCUUGCACCUUGACGGUACCUAACCAGAAAGCCACGGCUAACUACGUGCCAGCAGCCGCGGUAAUACGUAGGUGGCAAGCGUUGUCCGGAAUUAUUGGGCGUAAAGGGCUCGCAGGCGGUUUCUUAAGUCUGAUGUGAAAGCCCCCGGCUCAACCGGGGAGGGUCAUUGGAAACUGGGAAACUUGAGUGCAGAAGAGGAGAGUGGAAUUCCACGUGUAGCGGUGAAAUGCGUAGAGAUGUGGAGGAACACCAGCGAAGGCGACUCUCUGGUCUGUAACUGACGCUGAGGAGCGAAAGCGUGGGGAGCGAACAGGAUUAGAUACCCUGGUAGUCCACGCCGUAAACGAUGAGUGCUAAGUGUUAGGGGGUUUCCGCCCCUUAGUGCUGCAGCUAACGCAUUAAGCACUCCGCCUGGGGAGUACGGUCGCAAGACUGAAACUCAAAGGAAUUGACGGGGGCCCGCACAAGCGGUGGAGCAUGUGGUUUAAUUCGAAGCAACGCGAAGAACCUUACCAGGUCUUGACAUCCUCUGACAACCCUAGAGAUAGGGCUUUCCCUUCGGGGACAGAGUGACAGGUGGUGCAUGGUUGUCGUCAGCUCGUGUCGUGAGAUGUUGGGUUAAGUCCCGCAACGAGCGCAACCCUUGAUCUUAGUUGCCAGCAUUCAGUUGGGCACUCUAAGGUGACUGCCGGUGACAAACCGGAGGAAGGUGGGGAUGACGUCAAAUCAUCAUGCCCCUUAUGACCUGGGCUACACACGUGCUACAAUGGACAGAACAAAGGGCUGCGAGACCGCAAGGUUUAGCCAAUCCCACAAAUCUGUUCUCAGUUCGGAUCGCAGUCUGCAACUCGACUGCGUGAAGCUGGAAUCGCUAGUAAUCGCGGAUCAGCAUGCCGCGG
rnacentral:rRNA from 1 species